rnacentral:lncRNA from 1 species
UUCUCGAUCUUCAGUUCACUACUUCACCACCCUCUUAUUUAUUCCUUCUCUUGCGGCGGUGGUGUGGGGUGGUGGUGGUGGUGGUGGUUGUUGAAGGAAUCAAAUGGUGUGUUGUCUGCCAUUUGUUAUAUUUCAUCGAUCCAUUUCAUUACGUUCACCCCCCUCUGUUUCCAUCGCAUUAAGAACCACUCAAUGAAGAUCAGCGCUCACAAUUGGGUCUGCAUAGGCAGGGGACUGCACCUGGUCUGGUUCCUUAAAUAAACUGCUGAUUUACCCCCAGAUUUUGAAGGAAACAAUGAGCGGAUUGGAUUGGGUGGUUUGCAAAGAUGGGGCCGCAAAAGAGUUGACUGAACAGCACGUGUUUUUGAUAUAUUAUGAACUAGAGAUUUGCCUUGAGAGUGGUUUGUACAUAUUAACUUGAUACAAGUUUUUUUUUAUCAAUAAACUUUGUUUUGU